GACGAACGCUGGCGGCGUGCUUAACACAUGCAAGUCGAACGGAAAGGCCCUGCUUUUGUGGGGUGCUCGAGUGGCGAACGGGUGAGUAACACGUGAGUAACCUGCCCUUGACUUUGGGAUAACUUCAGGAAACUGGGGCUAAUACCGGAUAGGAGCUCCUGCUGCAUGGUGGGGGGUGGAAAUUUUCGGCGGGUGGGGAUGGACUCGCGGCUUAUCAGCUUGUUGGUGGGGUAGUGGCUUACCAAGGCUUUGACGGGUAGCCGGCCUGAGAGGGUGACCGGCCACAUUGGGACUGAGAUACGGCCCAGACUCCUACGGGAGGCAGCAGUGGGGAAUAUUGCACAAUGGGCGGAAGCCUGAUGCAGCAACGCCGCGUGCGGGAUGACGGCCUUCGGGUUGUAAACCGCUUUCGCCUGUGACGAAGCGUGAGUGACGGUAAUGGGUAAAGAAGCACCGGCUAACUACGUG
rnacentral:rRNA from 1 species